rnacentral:tRNA from 1 species
GUGGGUGUGGCCCAGUGGUAGAGCACCUGCCUCGCACGUGAGAGGCACUGAGUUCGAUUCUCAGCACCACA